AGAAAAAUAGAGUGUGAGCGAUAUUUUAGUAAGACGGAAACCAAAAGAGUGUUGUUCCUUUAGAGUGUGUAGUAGUCACUUUGAGUGUUGUAUUCGUGACUACACAGUGUAAAAUUCCUUACUAUAGUAAUAUCAGUUGCUCCUCUUGGCCCGUGGUUUUUUCCCUUAUUCAGAAGGGUUUCCACGUAAAAUUCUUGGUGUCGUUAUUUUCUCAUUUUAUUUCCAUUACUUUUACCAUAUAUACUUUUGUGCUUGUCCGCGUUUUCCUAACAGUAGAUACAUCAUCUCCUGCUAAGCAGAGGACGUCACCUAAUCUUAUUGAUGAUCAUUCUGAUGCAGCGACGCCAGUGUGUUUUGCAACAGCCUUCCGCCCUUAAUUUUAUGGUGAUGCUUUUCAUUCUCAGAAAGUGAGGAGUUUUUGCAAGAUAUUGAAAUGUCCUUCUGUGUUUUGAGGAUACCCCCUGCUCUAGAAAACUGGUAUACUUAAGUUUAAGCAAGUCCUGCACCUUAAAUUCCACACAGCCCAUCAACGGGGAAUGAUUAGUGGAGUUAGCACUAACUCGUGUGCACCUUGACUUAUUUACUGGCAGCCAAUUUGACUUGAGCACCAAGUCUAGAGCAGAUGGGAUCAUACUGAGUGUUGUGGCUAGGACCAGGGGCGGAGCUAGAGGGACGAAAUGGGUUCCUAAUUCAUUAAGGUCCAACAGAACAUUAUGUAUGCAUCAUAUAUGUUGAACUUGAAUCCCUUACGAAAAUCCAGCCUCCGCUACUAGCUAGGAAUCAAACAAAGACUCCUCAAGUAGUUACUCCUAUGCCUCAACCACACAGCUGCAGAUCAUGGACUUCAAUCUUGAGUUUGUUAUUAACCCUCUUUACAUUGGUAAACAUACAUCCAUCUAGAAAGACCAACGCACAUAUAUAUUACAUAUUCAAGACAAAGACUGCACUUUUAUUAUUUAUCUUUCAAAAUAAGUUCAGUCAUUUCAAAACACCAACUUCCUCUUCAUCCCUCCUCCACCAAUAAUAAGCACUUUUUGCAAGAAUUAGUCUUAAACCUUCAUCUAGAAAGAGAAGGUGAAAACAUAGCUAGAACCAACAACAACAUACCCAGUGUAAUCCCACAAGUGGGAUUUGGGGAGAGUGGAAUGUACACAGCCAUGGAUCAGUGAUAAUCAGCAAUCAUUCUCUAGGUUUCAUCAUGAACCUAAUUGGUUAUCUUAGAUUGUUGGGGAAUAAUGAAAAAUAUUUCACAAUAAUAAUAAUAUAAUAUUAUUUAGCAGAAUAGUAGUCCUGGAGAUAAGAUGAAAAUUACUACGAUGAUAUGUUAAUAAUAGUGCAGAAAAUUAGUACUUAAGUAGUGUUAGGCAUUGUCCUAAGAAACUAUUUCAGCGGUGUGAAAUAUUUCCCGGGAUUAACCAAGUCUUCCAUAUUUAAAUAGAGGAUACAGGAAUCAACAAAUUAAUUUACAAAUUAACCAUCAACCAAAAUAAGUAAAACUAAGAUGGAAGAGGGGAAUGAGUGAUUGUAAACAAAGGAAAAAUACUGAUAUAUUGUUAUGUAUUGCAGAUGGUUUGAGGGACUAUUUAUAGUGGAAGGAACAUAUUUGCACAUGACAAGUGUUAAGACACUUGUCUUCCAACAACAACAACAAAUGCCACUAAUAGUUAGUAAGCACAAGACAAGUAGAUCAUUUUUUUUAAUGACAAGGAAACCUGCGGCUGCUACCCUUUGCGUGCUCACAGGGUAAAAACCCCGCUCCUAUGCAAUAGAUUUGAAAAGUGACAAGUGUUAAAACCUUUCAAAUAACACUACAAUUCCCCACUAUUUCAAAGAUUUAAUGAGAAAAGAUAUACAAAAUGCAAUAGGCCAUGGCGUGUUUGAAUGUAUUCAUAAGAGCUCUAAAGACUAGGCCAAAGUCUCAUAGGAGUGGCCACUCCACUUCUCAUAUAGGUGAAUUCAUCAAAUCUAAACUGCUUUAAAUACACCAUUUUUAAUUAAGGACUAUGAAUUCAUUAAGAGUUAAUAACUCAUUCCUCAUUUUUAAUAGCAGUUCAAGCACUCUCAGUUAGUGUGCAGUGUCAAUACUGACUUGUUAUUACCCAUAUGAACCUACUUCAUGGGAUCUCGAUCAAUUAGGUUGGGUUACCAUCUCUAUUGACAAUCAGUUGGCCUUAAAACCCAUCUCAAUAGAUCUGAAAAAUUAAUUUUCUUUCCACAGGUUUAGUCAGUGAAUUGGACAAAUUCAAUUCUAACUUCAUAUAAUCAAUUGUAAUUAUUCCAUCUCUCAGCAGGUGCUUAACUACAUCAUGCCUCAAUUUCAUGUGUCGGCUCUUACAAUAUAAGAUUUAUUCUUCGCAGUAGCAAUUGUGGCUUGACAAUCACGGUGUAUAAACACUGGAGGCAAUUCAUCCUUUAUUAAAAGGAUAUUUGCUAAGAAAUUUCUUAGUCAUUCAGACUCAGAACCAACCAUCUCCAAAGCUACAAACGACUCCGAAAGGCACCAAACCCAUUGCAUUUUGCCCGGAAAAUCCAGGAAGUUAUAUUUUUUUUUAUAUUAAAUCUUUGAAAUAGUGAGGAAUUGUAGUGUGAUUUGAAUGAUUGUAACACCUGUCACUUUUCAAAUGAUCCACUUGUUUUGUACUUACUAACUAUUAGUGGCAUUUGUUGUUAUUGUUGGAAGACAAGUGUCUUAACACUUGUCAUGUGCAAAUAUGUUCCUUUCCACUAUAGAUAGUCCCUCAAAAUAAUCAGCAAUACAUAACAAUAUAUCAAUAUCCUUUCUUUUGUUUUCAA